UACGGGGGGAGCAAGCGUUGUUCGGAUUUACUGGGCGUAAAGGGCGCGUAGGCGGCCACCGCAAGUCAGUUGUGAAAGCUCUGGGCUUAACCCAGAAAGGUCAACUGAUACUGCGGGGCUAGAGUGCAGAAGGGGCAACUGGAAUUCUCGGUGUAGCGGUGAAAUGCGUAGAUAUCGAGAGGAACACCUGCGGCGAAGGCGGGUUGCUGGGCUGACACUGACGCUGAAGUGCGAAAGCUAGGGGGGCGAACGGG
rnacentral:rRNA from 1 species